UACGUAGGGUGCGAGCGUUUAAUCGGAAUUACUGGGCGUAAAGCGUGCGCAGGCGGUUUCACAAGCUCGAUGUGAAGCCCCGGCUUAACCUGGGAAUGGCAUUGAGGACUGUGGAGCUCGAGUGCGGCAGAGGGAGGUGGAAUUCCACGUGUAGCAGUGAAAUGCGUAGAGAUGUGGAGGAACACCGAUGGCGAAGGCAGCCUCCUGGCCGACACUGACGCUCAUGCACGAAAGCGUGGGAGCAAACAGGA
rnacentral:rRNA from 1 species